UGAGAAUUCAAUAUAUAAUUCAAAACAAGACGCAGUUUGGGUCGAAGAUUUACAGUCUCAAACUGCGUCUUGUUUUGAAUUAUAUAUUGAAUUCU